GACGUAGGGCGCGAGCGUUGUCCGGAUUUAUUGGGCGUAAAGAGCUCGUAGGCGGCUUGUCGCGUCGACUGUGAAAGCCCGCGGCUCAACCGCGGGUCUGCAGUCGAUACGGGCAGGCUAGAGUUCGAUAGGGGAGACUGGAAUUCCUGGUGUAGCGGUGAAAUGCGUAGAGAUCGGGAGGAACACCAGAGGCGAAGGCGGCGACCUGGACAGUAACUGACACUCAACUACGAAAGCGUGGGUAGCAAACAGG
rnacentral:rRNA from 1 species